AUUGAACGCUGGCGGCAGGCCUAACACAUGCAAGUCGAACGAGUGGCGGACGGGUGAGUAAUGUCUGGGAAACUGCCUGAUGGAGGGGGAUAACUACUGGAAACGGUAGCUAAUACCGCAUACCAUCAGAUGUGCCCAGAUGGGAUUAGCUUGUUGGUGGGGUAACGGGUCACCAAGGCGACGCUCCCUAGCUGGUCUGAGAGGAUGACCAGCCACGCUGAAACUGGAACACGGUCCAGACUCAUACGGAAGGCGGCAGUGGGAAAUAUUGCACAAUGGGCGCAAGCCUGAUUCAGCCAUACCGCGUGUAUGAAGAAGGCCUUCGGGUUGUAAAGUACUUUCAGCGGGGAGGCGUUACCCACAGAAGAAGCACCGGCUAACUCCGUGCCAGCCGCCGCGGUAAUAC
rnacentral:rRNA from 1 species